rnacentral:rRNA from 1 species
UACGUAGGCAGCGAGCGUUGUUCGGAAUUACUGGGCGUAAAGAGUGUGUAGGCGGUGUUCCCAGUCUGUUGUGAAAUCUCCCGGCUUAACUGGGAGGGUGCAGCGGAAACUAGAAUGCUAGAGGGUGGGAGAGGUAAGCGGAAUUCCUGGUGUAGCAGUGAAAUGCGUAGAUAUCAGGAGGAAUACCGAUGGCGAAGGCAGGUCUCUGGGCUGACACUGACGCUCAUGCACGAAAGCGUGGGGAGCAAACAGG